AUAUGGUCGUAAUAUAAUGGUAAGGUUUUUGUGAACUAUGAAAGAGAUAUAUGAUUUGUCCAUGUGCAAGGAAAUGAUAUUUUGACCAGGACAAUGCUGGAGCUGGACCAAAUUCUACGAGCAAAUGAAAUUAACUUUGCAAUUCUAGCUGCAUUACCUGCUUUCAUUCUCUCUCUCUUACUCAUCAUGUUAGUGCGUGCAUGGUUGAAA
rnacentral:lncRNA from 1 species